UGUAAGCGUAUACCAAAGUUGUUGCAGUUAAAACGCUCGUAGUCGGAAUUUGGCAGUUCCGGAAGUGUUCACGUCGUGUGCGCACUUUGCGGGGACUGCUUUUGUGGUCUUGCGUAGGAUGAGGCACUUUCAUUAGUGAACGUCCUCACGCAACCACUCUUUACUGUGAGAAAAUCAGAGUGCUCAAAGCAGGCAUUUGCCGUGAAUGUAUUAGCAUGGAAUAAUAGAAUAGGACUCGGUUCUAUUUUGUUGGUUUGUUGGGACUGAGUAAUGAUUAAGAGGGACAGUUGGGGGCAUUUGUAUUCCGGCGCUAGAGGUGAAAUUCUUAGAUUGCCGGAAGACAAACUGCUGCGAAAGCGUCUGCCAAGGAUGUUUUCAUUGA
rnacentral:rRNA from 1 species